rnacentral:rRNA from 1 species
AAUAGAUACCCAGGUAGUCCACGCCGUAAACGAUGAGUGCUAAGUGUUAGAGGGUUUCCGCCCUUUAGUGCUGAAGUUAACGCAUUAAGCACUCCGCCUGGGGAGUACGGCCGCAAGGCUGAAACUCAAAGGAAUUGACGGGGGCCCGGCACAAGCGGUGGAGCAUGUGGUUUAAUUCGAAGCAACGCGAAGAACCUUACCAGGUCUUGACAUCCUCUGAAAACCCUAGAGAUAGGGCUUCUCCUUCGGGAGCAGAGUGACAGGUGGUGCAUGGUUGUCGUCAGCUCGUGUCGUGAGAUGUUGGGUUAAGUCCCGCAACGAGCGCAACCCUUGAUCUUAGUUGCCAUCAUUAAGUUGGGCACUCUAAGGUGACUGCCGGUGACAAACCGGAGGAAGGUGGGGAUGACGUCAAAUCAUCAUGCCCCUUAUGACCUGGGCUACACACGUGCUACAAUGGACGGUACAAAGAGCUGCAAGACCGCGAGGUGGAGCUAAUCUCAUAAAACCGUUCUCAGUUCGGAUUGUAGG